UCCGAAUUGGUGUAGUGGCUAACAUUUCACGCUCUCACUUGGUAGACAAGUAGAUCCGUGGAGCCCGGGGUUCGAUUCCCCGAUUCGGAG
rnacentral:tRNA from 1 species